GCCCCCCCCCCCCCCCCCGCAAACACUCCCGAGGUAAAAUUAUUAUUAUUCCAGUUUGACAAAUUUAGCGAUCUGUUUUGCCAGGUAGAUCUUUCUUUUCUACUCGAGGGAAAGAGGUCGAGCUUUGAAACCGAAAUAUACACAAAAUAGCUACAAUCUUUUGGGCAAAGCAGAAACCCACUGACCACACCUCUCCGAUAAGAGACCACUGGGGAUCAGUUCUGUUCCCCCAACACCAGCCCUACCGAACAAAAGAGAGAAAGAGAGAGAAAAUAAUAUUUGUUCAGGUCCCCCCUCUGUUCGCCUUUGAUUUAUCUGUUUACAACCAGGACCCCCUCAGUUGAAACAAAAAAUCAAUGAAAAUGUAGUUGGAGAAAAGGCGGGCAAACUACAGGAAAAAAAAAUUUUGUGAAUGGAAGAAUGUGUUUGUGCAUUCAUUGUUAAAAUAAAGAGCAUGCCGUGACGCGGGGCCGCGGGCGCCAAUGGGCGCCGGGAUAAUAUUUUUAAAUAUCCUCCCGGCGAGCCAAUGGGGGAGGCGGUGGCAAAGACUAGCGCAGGGGCGAGCCAAUGGCGGGGGAGGUAUGCUAAUGAGGAGUUGGUCAGGCAGGAGCUGAAUGUCAACUAGUCAAAGAUGGAGGCCGGAGCGGGGAGGCCAUGAGGCAUGGAAUGAAGCUCCCUCCCGUCACCUGCCGCAAGACACAUAAUCCAGCUUCCUAACCUUAAGGAUGAGACCCUAUCAAUAUUGCCUCUGCUUUUGUGAUCAGGGUAGUAGUGCAAUAUUGCUUAUAGGGUCUUUUCUUUGGAGGGUAUUCUUCAUGGAGAGAAGAAAGCCACAGCAGGAAAAAAAUAAUCCUAUGUGCCCAUCAAGUUAAGGGAAAAGUUGUGAAAUGCGAAGCAUUGUUAGAUAGGCAAGUAAUUGCACGGAGAUGUUAUGUGUGACAAGUAAUCGUGCUAUUGUGGUGACUCAGGUUGUGAGUAAUGGGCAUAUUUUUGAUGUUAUCACACAGGAUUCGAAACGGCCUUGUGCUUAAAAAGCGCAAGCAGCGACUGAAACUGGAGAAACCCAUCACGUCUCCAUUUUAAAAUAGUAUCAGACUCGAGAUGUUUGAAGGGUGCCUGUUUUACAUAAUGAUGUAAACACCCGUCAAGGGAUGGGAGGAGAUACAUAUAACCACACUUGCUCUUUCUGUGCCUGAUCCCAGCCUGAAAACUGGUGCAAAGCAGAGCGUUGCACAAAGAGACCACGGCUCUGAUCCCAGUAACCUCCUCAAACAAAGCUUGUGUCUCUGCCCAGCGAGCCGCCCCGCCGGGCUCCACAUACACGGGGCCGGGCCGUGGAGCCGGGGCCGUGUCCGUGGUCGGGGCGCGCGGCCCGGGCCCUUCCCUGGGCUGCACACGGAGGUACGUGGGAACGGAGCAGGCUGGCGGGGGUGAAGCUCCUCUCUGCUUUGUGAGUGAUCAGCUGGGGGCUGACAGCAGCUGGGACGGCCGAGUGGGUGGCCCUGCCUUCCAUUUCAGGUGGUCCCCUCGGUCCCUUUUCGGGACCUCCGAGGCCCAAGGAAAGGGAGGGCGGGAGGGGACAGAGCUGGCCUGGCAGAGCAGCCGCUGCCCCGGGGGUUUGCGAGCCGGGGCCCGGGCAGCGGGACCCCCUUGAGCCUGCUGCGUCUCUCCCUGGGGGGCGGCCGGGGGAGGUCCCGCAGGCCAGAGAUGGGGCCGUGCCCGCUGCCUCCUGACCCUGCCGCUGCCCUCGCGUUAACCUGCCAGCAUCACCCGGGGGGGCGGCCAGCGCUAGGCCAGAGGCAGGAAAGACCCCCCCCCCGGGGCUCUCCCCCGGCCUGCAGCUGCUGGGCCAGUGCCGGGACCACCGGGCGGGCUGCCCCUCUUUCCCUGUUGCACUACUGUCACGGUUGCAGCGAGCAGUGCAAUAAUGAAAGGGCGUCAGUGCGCCGGGGAGCGGCAAGAGCGGGGGGCGAGCUGGCCUCCAGCGUGGCAGCGGGUGGGGACGGGCUGUCCCGCCGCCCCCGGGAGCCACCUUAACCGGGGGGGGGGGGUACAACACACGGCUUUGAUUGUGCAACUUUCUUUGUUUAAGCACCAGCAGCGGAGAGUGUGUGCAGGAGCGGGGCAAGGUGAGCGGCCCUGUGCGCCGCCCUGGCCCCUCGCCUGGCCCCAGAGCGAGCGAGCGCGGCGCAGGGCGCCUCUUUGCUGUACCCAGCCAGCACCGAAUAAAUAAAGUGACUUCCCACA